rnacentral:misc_RNA from 1 species
GAGGAAGCGGAGCUCUCGUAUAAGCGCUAGCUUCCCCCGACCGACUAAAAUACAAGAGUCGCGACCUACUUUGAUUCAAAAGAAAGGCGAAGGCUUUGGCAAGAAGCAAACGGCUUUCUAUCAUAGUUGCAAGGCUUCCAAACCUUAAUUAAGUACCAAAGGCUGCUUUCGCUUGCUUUCAUAAGGGGGCUGUUCACUACAAGCUAUCAGCGCUGUCUUAGAUUGAACGGUAAUAAGAUAAGUCGACGUUCAAUCUCUAAGGCGGCUUUCCGCUGAUAACGGAAUAGUCUUCGGUGAACAAGGCCCUAGCUUCUAGAGUUCGCUGCUUUUCCCAGGCCGGAAAAGGGCUUAUACUGCUCGCCUUUGUUUGAUAUAUUCAUUCAGUACCAAUACAAACUACAACUACACCAAAGUAGAAAGGCCACUAUAGAAGCUAAAAGUAGCCUAUAGUAUAGUAGUCGGCCUAACCAAAGCGUCACAACAAGAGAAAAUUAACCUUAUGAAUGGAAUCUUAAGUAGAGGGCUUAGCCCGCCCGCCUACCAAUCAAAGAGGCUGAGAGUAAGCGUAAGCUCACCCGUAAGCUCUUCGAGCUUUCUCCGCCAGAGAGAGUAGAGAAGGGGAGAAGCGACUCGUCGUAGAAGCUUCGCUUCCGGGACGAAGCCAAGCCUAAAAGAUCGACUUGGCGCGGGGGGCCAAGCAUUCUGAGCUGGAAGGAAGCAAGCGGAGGCAUUACGGGCCGACCACAAGA